rnacentral:miRNA from 1 species
GCAGACACAUUCCAGCCAAUCAGCGGCAGACCCUCCCUCCCAGACCCUGCCACCUCCUGGACAGCAUCCAUUUUGAAGCUGCAUUCUUAGUGAGCUGUCCAGGAGGUGGGAGGGUCUGGGAGGGAGGGUCUGCUGCGGAUUGGCUGGAAUGUGUCUG